rnacentral:rRNA from 1 species
GACGAACGCUGGCGGCGUGCUUAACACAUGCAAGUCGAACGAAGUGGCGAACGGGUGAGUAACGCGUAGUUAACCUGCCCUUCAGGAGGGAACAACAGUUGGAAACGACUCCUAAUACCGCAAACUGAAGGGGGAGAUUUCGUCUGAUUGGCUAGUUGGAGGGGUAACGGCCCACCAAGGCGAUGAUAAGUAGCCGGGCUGAGAGGAGGAACGGCCACAUUGGGACGGAGAAACGGCCCAGACCCCUACGGGAGGCAGCAGUGGGGAAUCUUCCGCAAUGGACGAAAGUUUGACGGAGCAACGCCGCGUGAGUGAUGACGGCCUUCGGGUUGUAAAGCUCUGUUAAUCGGGACGCGGUACCGGAAUAGAAAGCCACGGCUAACUACGUGCCAGCAGCCGCGGUAAUAC